rnacentral:rRNA from 1 species
UCGGUUUCUAUCUAUGACCACUUAUACCCAGUACGAAAGGACCGGUGUAAUAAAGCCAAUACUUAAAGCACGCUUUCAACAACAUAAAUAAAUUACAUCACCUUCAACCCAGACAAGGUUAAUUAAGGACACAGCCCUUA